GGCAGACUAACUGCUGUACCAAGUUUGUCCUCCUGUUCUCACCGUAGCUCCUCUCCUAUCGGUCACGCCCUCCAGUUAGCUUGCAGGUGGCUAUGUACUCAUUAGCGUCAAUGGCACUUUCUAUAAGACCGGCACCGGAGGUGGGCUAGUAAGUGAUCCCUAGGCUCCGUACGUCCUCCCUACACUGUGUUCGCUGUGCUGUCACCUAUGAAAGGUAUUUGGCUGUGUACCAGACGCUUCCGGGUAGUGUUUUGUUGAUCUACCGAAGGUCUUGACUGAAAAGACGCCGUGUACGCGCAGGUUGCACUUUCUAUUGGGAGAUGCGUUAAGGUAACAUUGGCUGUAUAUCUCAGUAAGGUUUGCCAUGUAAUAUGUGUGUGUGCAUGUGUACAUAUGUAUGUUUAUAUGCAUGUUUACAGUAACUGGAUCUACUAUAAUGUGUCAUGUUUCGCUGUAAGUCCUUGUGAUUUAACUAGCCAAUAACCUUUUAUUAUGUUGUAUGUGAGCGAUGCUUGUGUGUGAUUUUAUGUAGGUUUGCGUACUGGAGAGAUACCAGGGAGUCCCAUUUCCAUUCAUGUUGAGUGCUGUAUUCCUAGAGGUAAAAGGAAACCGUGUUGUAUUGUAUCUGUAUUGGUUUAGGCUGUAUUUACCAUAAACAAUGGAUUUUAACUGUGUUUGUUUACUCCUUUAGAAAGAUUGCCACUGCUGCUUUGCCUCCUGUAGAUUUAAGUAAUUGUAGCUCUUGCCUCAUUUUGUUUUCUUUCUUUUGUUUUGUUUGUCCGAUUGAUUUGGCCUAAACAUAGGCGUGGCUGGUUUCAUUUAUUUGCCCUCCGUCGUGGUGUGUCGGCAACAGGUGUGGUAUUGGCUGCCCCAGUAUUUUGCUGCGGUAAUGUGUGAUGGUAGUAAUGCUAACAUCUAGCUUUCUUGACCCAGCCAGUUAUUGCCAAUAGCAACCAUAUCUUCCCUUCUCCCCUCCAGAGAAACAGAGUGUUGCAGCUGUUCCGCGGGGCAGGUUGCCGGAUCUGAGUCCUCCUCUUCGUGUACUUCACACAGUAUUUGUAGUGGUAACGUGCACCUCACUAUUUGCAGUGAUCACUCUUUGUAGUACCUGUGCCUAUGCGAGCGUGUGUGUGUGUGUGUGUGUGUGUGUGUCUGUGAAUAGGCAACAGAAUCCGCAGCACGGGUGGUGUGUCGGUCUCACUCCUCUUCCAGGACAGGUAACCGCUCCCGAACAGCUGAUCAAAUUAACCCUACUUGAUUACAUGUAAUAUUCCUGGUGGCAGCCACUACCUUCCUCUUGCUGGCCUAUUGGGCCUAAUAUGUACUGCACUCCAUCCUGAGAAUCAAACCCAAGACUGACUUUUUAACUGAAUUGCUUGUGAAUAAAUAUUGUUUAUUUUUUCAUUGAAAUACCACGUCUCUGUCAUUACUGGCUUAUCUGUGUGCGAGAGCCCUCUUGUCUAAAUCAAGGUGUUGGAGGUCUAGCUAAAAUACAUCUUGGUGUGAAAGGCCCCAAGUGGCGUAGUCGAGCACUCUAUAGUCAAGACUCUUGUCAUCUGACUCCCGUGGUCACAAUCUGGCGUAGUCGG